CCUCCAAUUUUAGGUGUUCAGGCGCUUCGUGGAGGUUGGCCGGGUGGCCUAUGUCUCCUUUGGACCUCAUGCCGGAAAAUUGGUCGCGAUUGUAGAUGUUAUUGAUCAGAACAGGGCUUUGGUCGAUGGACCUUGCACUCAAGUGAGGAGACAGGCCAUGCCUUUCAAGUGCAUGCAGCUCACUGAUUUCAUCCUCAAGUUUCCGCACAGUGCCCGCCAGAAGUAUGUCCGACAAGCCUGGCAGAAGGCAGACAUCAAUACAAAAUGGGCAGCCACACGAUGGGCCAAGAAGAUUGAAGCCAGAGAAAGGAAAGCCAAGAUGACAGAUUUUGAUCGUUUUAAAGUUAUGAAGGCAAAGAAAAUGAGGAACAGAAUAAUCAAGAAUGAAGUUAAGAAGCUUCAAAAGGCAGCUCUCCUGAAAGCUUCUCCCAAAAAAGCACCUGGUACUAAGGGUACUGCUGCUGCUGCUGCUGCUAAAGUUCCAGCAAAAAAGAUCACCGCCACGAGUAAAAAGGCUCCAGCCCAGAAGGUUCCUGCCCAGAAAGCCACAGGCCAGAAAGCAGCGCCUGCUCCAAAAGCUCAGAAGGGUCAAAAAGCUCCAGCCCAGAAAGCACCUGCUCCAAAGGCAUCUGGCAAGAAAGCAUAAGUGGCGAUCAUAAAAAGUAAUAAAGGUUCUUUUUGACCUGUUGACAAAUGUAUUUAAGCCUUUGGAUUUAAAGCCUGUUGAGGCUAGAGUUAGGAGGCAGAUUGAUAGUAGGAUUAUAAUAAACAUUAAAUAAUCA
rnacentral:sRNA from 1 species